AGCAAUGGAAUUCUAACCAUGGGCCAUGAAAAUCAUCUCCUAUGUUGGAUUCCACUGAUUUGAGCCACUCAGAAGGCCCCAUUGUUUUUUCUUCAUGUCCACCAUUUCUUCCCUAUUUUUCUGCAUGAAUCAUAAAUCUCUUCCUCUUCCCAUAAUUCAAUGGAGUCUGGACUGUGCUGAUUAGUGUUCCGUCGAAGAAACUGAUACGACUUUUCGAUUCCACUGUUGCUGUUUAUCAAGAGAUAGUAUUAUAGAAGACUUUUAUGUGUUAUGAAGAUAAGCCUGGAACCAGCAUUGAAGGUGUCAAGUAUUCAUCAGCAUAAAAGGAUAAAUUGGAGGGCCAUGAAGAGCACUCACAUAAAUUUAAAGUAGUUUUCAGAAAAUUGUUGCAGGAAUCUUGUUUGGAUCAAUCUGAUUGGCUUGACAGAUAUGCUUCCUCUCCUUGCGCUGGUGUUGGAGAUGAUUUGGGUGACCCCAUGGGUGAUUUUCAUGAAUUGUAAAGUUUGAAUGUUGGUCGUCUCAAUCAAAAAGAUUUUUCUCGUGGCGGUAGCAAAACGCGAUGGAGGAAAUCUAAAAAACACUAGUUGGGUUUUUCUCCUUUGUCUAUUAUCGUUCGAUGGCUAGUGGUUUGUCUUUUUCCUUGUAAGAUUAUUUGGUUGUUACUUGCAAGUUUUGGCUAUUAGAACUUCUGGCUGCUCUCUAGAAUAAUGAAUAUUCUUGUUAUCCUCUGGAGUCAUCCCUCGUUUUGGUGCUUUUAUUUUUGUUUGUCUUUUUUUUCCUGUUGUUCUUCUUUGUAAUAGAUAGAAACAUUGGCUCGUAGGUUUUAA